GGGCGCGUAGCUCAAUGGUAGAGCAGUGGCCUUUUAAGCCAUUGGUUGAGAGUUCGAGCCUCUCCGCGCUCA
rnacentral:tRNA from 2 species